CCUACGGGGGGCUGCAGUGAGGAAUAUUGGACAAUGGGUGAAAGCCUGAUCCAGCCAUCCCGCGUGAAGGAUGACGGUCCUAUGGAUUGUAAACUUCUUUUGUACAGGGAUAAACCUACUCUCGUGAGGGUAGCUGAAGGUACUGUACGAAUAAGCACCGGCUAACUCCGUGCCAGCAGCCGCGGUAAUACGGAGGGUGCAAGCGUUAUCCGGAUUUAUUGGGUUUAAAGGGUCCGUAGGCGGACCUGUAAGUCAGUGGUGAAAUCUCAUAGCUUAACUAUGAAACUGCCAUUGAUACUGCAGGUCUUGAGUAAAUUUGAAGUGGCUGGAAUAAGUAGUGUAGCGGUGAAAUGCAUAGAUAUUACUUAGAACACCAAUUGCGAAGGCAGGUCACUAUGAUUUAACUGACGCUGAUGGACGAAAGCGUGGGUAGCGAACAGGAUUAGAUACCCCAGUAGUC
rnacentral:rRNA from 1 species